CCAAAAACUAGGCUGAUGCAGUAACAUGAACAACAUUACUAUAGGAUCUAAUUAGUACAUUAUCAUCUCCAAGUCACAUACGGUAGAAUGCGACUUCAAAUGUAUUAUGAUCCUAAUCACCUACCGAAAACGGGGCAGAGAAUGAUAGUUCGCAGCCACAUACCCCCACCAGAAACUGCAGUAUCCUUUAAAGCUCAGAAAAACGUCAUAAACCGCCCAACCAGUUGAGCAGCUGAAUCUUCAAGAAGACUCAAUAGCCGCAGUAGAAACAUCCACUGCAGCAGUUGAGUCAUUCUAAUGAUACACCUUAUGUGAGAAGGUGGUAAAAGAGAAGUAUCGUUCUCCUCCCCACAAAGUCUUCUCACUAUGUGUACAUAAUUUAAAGCUGAGAAAAACGUCAUGUUGAAAGAAGUCCCGAAUAAUCUUCUGAUGCACGUAAACUGCUUCAUACUCUCUCAAUUUACAUUUACAAAAUUAGCUUCAUACUCUCACAAGUUACAUUUACGAAACCUCCAUGUUGCUAGGUAAUUUAAACAUCAAAAUGAUUGUCUUCAUACUCACAGAAGGUGUUUCACUACUUAGCCAUACAAGUUUCUGUUUCUUAUAGCAAAACACGACCAAAUUAAUAUAGCAAAACACAGCGAAGUUCUUUUAACCUUUAUGUCCAAAACAGCGAAGCUAUUUAACCUGGUGGUUAAAAUCAGCGAAGUUCUUGAAGAUUGCUAUUAAAAACAGUGAAGUUAUUUAACCAUGUGGUUAAAAUCAGUGAAGUUUAUGAAGAUUGCUGUUAAAAACAGCGAAGUUAUUUAACCAGGUGGUUAAAAUCAGCGAAGUUCAUGUAGUUUGCUAUUAAAAACAACGAAGUUUAUGUACUUGGCUGUUUAAAACAGCAAGGUUAUGAAGAUGGUGCUUAAAAACAGCGAGCUUUCGAACACUCUGCUGAAUAAAACAACGAAGUACCUAAGAAUGCUUGUUUUCUUGGUUGGCACCUGAAGGUAAUCUUUGGGGGCUCAAACCCCCUAUUCU
rnacentral:lncRNA from 1 species